GCUCAGUACACCCAAGGUAGGGAAACGGGAGCGAGAGCUGUUUGUGCCGCGCGCGCAGCGCUCUGGGGCUCCGCGGUGAAGCAGACAUGCUCCCCCUUCCCCUGGAGCGAUGGAGCCGCACACAGCACUCUGGGGACCGGAGCUCCGCGGGGAGUCAGACACGCUCCCCCCUCCCCAUGAGCCAUGCCACCGCGCGCAGCGCUCUGGGGCUGCGCGCUCCCGCGGGGCAGUGUUUGGCUAGGAGCCUCAUCUCAUGGUGUUUUGGAGGAGACAGUUUGAACUAACAAGUGUGAGGACAUUAACACUUGAGAAGACUGCUCUACCUGAAAGAUGCAAGGCAUCAACUAAUUCUUAAAAUGAAACAAUGUUUGGGUGACAAAGCACCCAAAAUCCCAAAGCAAA